GACAGAGGUUGUAACGUUGUUCGGAAUCACUGGGCAUAAAGCGCACGUAGGCGGUCUGUUAAGUCAGGUGUGAAAGCCCCCGGCUCAACCGGGGAACAGCAUCUGAUACUGGCAGACUCGAGGAUGGUAGGGGUGAGUGGAACUCCAGGUGGAGCGGUGAAAUGCGUAGAUAUCUGGAGGAACACCGGUGGCGAAAGCGGCUCACUGGACCAUAACUGACGCUGAGGUGCGAAAGCUAGGGUAGCAAAC
rnacentral:rRNA from 1 species